rnacentral:rRNA from 1 species
CAAUAGCGUAUAUUUAAGUUGCUGCAGUUAAAAAGCUCGUAGUUGGAUUUCGGGUGGGAAUGGCCGGUCCGCCGUUUCGGUGUGCACUUGCUACGCCCACCUUGCUGCCGGGGACGUGCUCUUGAGUUCACGCUCGGGACACGGAGUCGGCGAGGUUACUUUGAGUAAAUUAGAGUGUUCAAAGCAGGCCUACGCUCUGAAUACAUUAGCAUGGAAUAACACGAUAGGACUCUGGCCUAUCUUGUUGGUCUGUAGGACCGGAGUAAUGAUUAAGAGGGACAGUCGGGGGCAUUCGUAUUUCAUUGUCAGAGGUGAAAUUCUUGGAUUUAUGAAAGACGAACUACUGCGAAAGCAUUUGCCAGGGAUGUUUUCAUUGA